rnacentral:rRNA from 1 species
UAGGGAAUCUUCCACAAUGGGCGAAAGCCUGAUGGAGCAACGCCGCGUGUGUGAUGUAGGGUUUCGGCUCGUAAAACACUGUUGUAAGAGAAGAAUGACAUUGAGAGUAACUGUUCAAUGUGUGACGGUAUCUUACCAGAAAGGAACGGCUAAAUACGUGCCAG